rnacentral:rRNA from 1 species
GUAGGUGGCAAGCGUUGUCCGGAAUUAUUGGGCGUAAAGCGCGCGCAGGCGGUCCUUUAAGUCUGAUGUGAAAGCCCACGGCUCAACCGUGGAGGGUCAUUGGAAACUGGGGGACUUGAGUACAGAAGAGGAAAGCGGAAUUCCAAGUGUAGCGGUGAAAUGCGUGGAGAUUUGGAGGAACACCAGUGGCGAAGGCGGUUUUCUGGUCUGUAACUGACGCUGAGGCGCGAAAGCGUGGGGAGCAAACAGGAUUAGAUACCCUGGUAGUCCACGCCGUAAACGAUGAGUGCUAAGUGUUAGGGGGUUUCCCGCCCCCUUAGUGCUGCAGCUAACGCAUUAAGCACUCCGCCUGGGGAGUACGGCCGCAAGGCUG